rnacentral:rRNA from 1 species
CCUACGGGAUGCAGCAGUGAGGAAUAUUGGUCAAUGGGCUUACGCCUGAACCAGCCAAGUCGCGUGAGGGAAGACUGCCCUAUGGGUUGUAAACCUCUUUUGUCAGGGAGCAACGCCGGCUACGUGUAGCCGGACUGAGAGUACCUGAAGAAAAAGCAUCGGCUAACUCCGUGCCAGCAGCCGCGGUAAUACGGAGGAUGCGAGCGUUAUCCGGAUUUAUUGGGUUUAAAGGGUGCGUAGGCGGAAUGCCAAGUCAGCGGGAAAAUCGCGGGGCUCAACCUCGCUCCGCCGUUGAAACUGGCGUUCUUGAGUGGGCGAGAAGUAUGCGGAAUGCGUGGUGUAGCGGUGAAAUGCAUAGAUAUCACGCAGAACUCCGAUUGCGAAGGCAGCAUACCGGCGCCCAACUGACGCUGAAGCACGAAAGCGUGGGUAUCGAACAGGAUUAGAUACCCGAGUAGUC